AUGGUGUUCUCCAGCCUUCUGAAGGUGGUCAUGGCUUCAAUGUGGCUAGGACCAGGUAUUGCCCAGAAAGUAAAUCAAGCCCAACCGGCAACGUUAGUGCAGGAGAAGGAGGCUGUGACCCUGAAGUGCACAUAUGAUACCAGUGGUGGAAGUUAUAGCCUAUUCUGGUACAAGCAGCCCAGUAGUGGGGUGAUGAUUUUCCUUAUUCGUCAGAACUCUUAUCAGCAAAAUGCCUCAGAAGGUCGCUACUCAUUGAAUUUCCAGAAGGCAAACAAAUCCAUCAACCUUGUCAUCUCAGCUUCACAACUGGAGGACUCUGCAGUGUAUUUCUGUGCCCUGAGUGAGUCCACAGUGACAGAUAUGUUGGAGGGAGGUGUAUCAAAACUCCAGGGCUCUCCUUGA